rnacentral:lncRNA from 1 species
CAGCUCUUUGCACACUCCCGUUUUCAACCCGCUGUCAUUGCAGGAGGACGGCAUCGGUGCUGCGAGGCUGCAGGGAGCGGUGGGACCCCACCUGUCCUGGGAUCAACACGGCGUGCAGGAAAAACCAGCUAUCACCUAUCCUGGCACUUUGCAGAGCAGUGCCAUGAGGGGAAGGGGCAGCGUGCAGCCCGGCCACGUCCACCCAACAGCUGUGGGCCCUCCCUGCUUUGGUUGGAGCUCCAAAACUGAUAUUCCACACAGAUGCAGCUGUGGGGCAUUCACAGACAGCGCUGCAGUGCACGGCUGCCCCACUGCUGCUGUGCGGUGCUGCGUGCAGCCAAAGCAGAGGGCAUCGCCGCAGCAGGAAAGCAAUUGAAGCUCCCUGGCACCCCGUGCCCCACUUUGUGGCAUGACCACACGGAGCCCGGAACCCUGCAGCCUUCUAAAGCCCUCUGUGGGGUUUGCUGGCUAAGAGCACUGUUUGUUUGCUUUGAUGUCUGCAGCCCCGACCUUGCUGGGACAGCAGCAGGCAGCAGGUGAGCGGGCAGCUGUGCCUGGAGGAGACUGAGAGCCUAUUGGCUUUGCUGUUCUUAUUUGCUUAUGACCCGGAGAAUUAGUGAGGAGGAUCUGCUGCCCCGCGGUGCACUGACGGCUCCUGCAAGCCACGGGCUCCCAGGGGACGGAGUGGUAUUUACCAACCUUUCC